CACCAGUGGAGAUCUACACCUGGUUUAAGGUGGGUCAGUCCAUUCCAGUAGGAUCAGGACAGAAGUACAACAUCCCUAACAUCAGCUCUGAGGAUGGAGGACUGUACUACUGUGAGGCCAGGAAUAAAUAUGGAGCUGGGAACUCAUCUAUUGUGUCAGUCAUAGUUGAAGGAGAUCAAUCCCGUGUAUUGAUUCCAGUGGUGGCAGUCUCUGUCUGUGGACUUGUGUGUCUGCUGUGUGCUUUUGUUGGGGUGAAGAAAAUGAGAAGGAGAAAGAAACCAGAGGAACAG